rnacentral:rRNA from 1 species
CCUACGGGAGGCAGCAGUGGGGAAUAUUGCGCAAUGGGCGAAAGCCUGACGCAGCGACGCCGCGUGAGGGAUGAAGGUCUUCGGAUCGUAAACCUCUGUUUGCCGGGAAGAACGGUCACUGUGUUAAUCCGCAGUGAAUUGACGGUACCUGCAAAGGACGCACCGGCUAACUCCGUGCCAGCAGCCGCGGUAAUACGGCGGGUGCGAGCGGUAAUCGGAAUUACUGGGCGUAAAGCGGUCGUAGGCGGGAUGUCAAGUCAAGGGUGAAAUCCCCGCGCUCAAAGUGGGAACUGUCUUUGAAACUGGCAGACUGGAGUGGGAGAGAGGUUAGUGGAAUUCGAGGUGU